CCUACGGGAGGCAGCAGUGAGGAAUAUUGGUCAAUGGACGAGAGUCUGAACCAGCCAAGUAGCGUGAAGGAUGACUGCCCUAUGGGUUGUAAACUUCUUUUAUAUGGGAAUAAAAUGUUCCACGUGUGGGAUUUUGUAUGUACCAUAUGAAUAAGGAUCGGCUAACUCCGUGCCAUCAGCCGCGGUAAUACGGAGGAUCCGAGCGUUAUCCGGAUUUAUUGGGUUUAAAGGGAGCGUAGGUGGAUUGUUAAGUCAGUUGUGAAAGUUUGCGGCUCAACCGUAAAAUUGCAGUUGAAACGGGCAGUCUUGAGUACAGUAGAGGUGGGCGGAAUUCGUGGUGUAGCUGUGAAAUGCUUAGAUAUCACGAAGAACUCCGAUUGCGAAGGCAGCUCACUGGACUGCAACUGACACUGAGGCUCGAAAGUGUGGGUAUCAAACAGGAUUAGAUACCCCAGUAGUC
rnacentral:rRNA from 1 species